rnacentral:rRNA from 1 species
UUUGAGAAAUAUCUUUAUUUUUAGUAUAUUAAAGAACGAAUUUUUUUAAUUAUAGUUUAUUAGUACCGUGAGGGAAUAUGGUGAAAUAUAUUGAAAAUUAUAAUUUUUAUAAGUAAAUUUUAUUUAUUGUACCUUUUGUAUCAGGGUUGAUUAAUUAUUUUUAAUUUAUUUUAUGUUCUCGAUUUUAAAAGAGCUAAUUUCAAAUUAAUGUUUCUGUAUCAUAAUAAUGAUGAAUUUGAAAUUAGGGGAGAAAUUCUAGUCGAUUUUAAAGGUAUCUAGUUUUUUAAGAAUUAAAUUUAAUUUAUCUUUAACAAUUAAAUGACUAAUUUUAUAAUUAUUUAUUGGUUAAGGUUAAAAUAUUAGGGGAUAAGCUCUAAUUUUAUUCUAAAAAUUAUUAUUUUAUUUAAUUUAUGUAAGCUUUAAAACAGCUAUCAUUAAUAAUUUCGUUGUAGUUUAAAUUAAAUUAAAAUGAUUUUUUUUAUUUUAGUAAUUUAUUAAAAUGUUAUUUUUAAUUUUGUAAAAUUUGUAAUAAUGAUUAAAUUAGUAUAUAAUCUUGUAAUUAAUUUAUUUCUUGAGAUAAUUAAAUAAGGAAUUCGGCAAAUAUAAUACUCGCCUGUUUAUCAAAAACAUGUCCUCUUGUUUUUUAUAUGAGGUCUGACCUGCCCAGUGAAAAUUAUUUUAACGGCCGCGGUAUUUUGACCGUGCAAAGGUAGCAUAAUCAUUAGUCUUUUAAUAGGAGGCUGGAAUGAAGGGUUUGACGAGGUAUUGACUGUCUCAUUUAAUUUGAAAUUAAAAUUUAACUUUUCAGUUAAAAGGCUGAAAUUAUAUUGGAAGACGAGAAGACCCUAUAGAGCUUUAUAUUUAAAACUAAUAAUAAAUUUUUGCUUAUUAUUAUUUUUUAUUGUUUUAAUUAUUUUGUUGGGGUGACAAAAAUAUAUAAAUAACUUUUUUAUUUAAGUAACAUUGAUUUAUGAUUAUUAGAUCCAGUCUUAUUGAUUGUUAGAUUAAGUUACCUUAGGGAUAACAGCGUAAUCUUCCUUCAGAGUUCAUAUUUACAGGAAGGAUUGCGACCUCGAUGUUGGAUUAAGAUAAUAGUUAGGUGUAGCCGCUUAAUAUAUAGGUCUGUUCGACCUUUAAAUUCUUACAUGAUCUGAGUUCAAACCGGUUAAGCCAGGUUGGUUUCUAUCUCCAAUUUUUAUUUAGUUUUUAGUACGAGAGGACCAAAACUAGGAAAUAAAUUUCUUUUAUAUGAAUAUUUAUUAAUAUACUAUUUUGGCAGAAAAGUGCCAUGGAUUUAGAAUUC